ACUAAAUACAUACAAUAGAAGCAUGUCUAAAUCUAAGAGCUAUGUUCUCUAAAUUUCUAGAUCUGAGAAUAAAAUCACAACAGGAGGCCUGAUUCAAAGCAGCAAACUGCAAUGCAGCAGAUGGGAUUUCCAAGAGUAUUGCCCUGUCCUCACUUAUGUUGGAGUCAAUGAGAGUUUUCACAUCGAUAUUUAUGGGAAAGAGAAUCCCAUGGAACACGUGGAGUCCCUCUGUCAGGAUAUCUCUCACCAGCCUGGAAUCCUGGAGUGAGGCUUCAUCUGUGACCAGAUGCCUUUGAAAUGGUGAAACUUUGGAAUGGUGUGGAUGGUACAUCUCAGCCCUAGACAGAUGUCUAAAAUCACAGAGAAGAAUCACACUCUGGAGGUGCUAGACUGUCUGUCGACUUUCAAGUGAAUCCAGAUGAGCAGCUGGAACAAGAUACUUCAUUCUGGAUAGCUAAAAUUAGGUGAUAUGUAUCUAUACCAAUUACCUACAAAUUCUUGCUGCCAGCAUGGCUUACAAGGACUAGUUUAGAUUAUGUGUACUUGUCAGGGAGCAAUGAGUGAAAUUUGUUUUGACAUUGUUUCACUCUAAUGCGGCAGAAGAUGGUAAGAAUAUGCAAGCACAGGGUCCUUCUGCAUAAUUUGUAUAAUGAUGAUGAUUAUGGUACUGGCAACAUUUGUGAGAAAGAGAGCAAUUGACAGAGGAUGGGAAGAAGCACAAGCAAAUAAACUAACACAAUGAUCUAAUCUCA
ensembl:lncRNA